GGGGAUCGAAAGACCUUAUGCUUUUGGAGCGGCCGAUGUCUGAUUAGCUAGUUGGUAGGGUAAUGGCUUACCAAGGCGACGAUCAGUAGUUGGUCUGAGAGGACAGACCAGCCACACUGGGACUGAGACACGGCCCAGACUCCUACGGGAGGCAGCAGUGGGGAAUUUUGGACAAUGGGCGCAAGCCUGAUCCAGCAAUGCCGCGUGAGUGAAGAAGGCCUUCGGGUUGUAAAGCUCUUUCAGUUGAAAAGAAAAAGCCGUGACUAAUAAUCAUGGUUCAUGACGGUAUCAACAGAAGAAGCACCGGCUAACUACGUGCCAGCAGCCGCGGUAAUACGUAGGGUGCAAGCGUUAAUCGGAAUUACUGGGCGUAAAGGGUGCGCAGGCGGUUCUGUAAGUCAGAUGUGAAAUCCCCGGGCUUAACCUGGGAACUGCGUUUGAAA
rnacentral:rRNA from 1 species